AGAGUUUGAUCCUGGCUCAGGACGAACGCUGGCGGCGUGCCUAAUACAUGCAAGUCGAGCGAGCUGAAUUCAAAGAUCCCUUCGGGGUGAUUUGUUGGACGCUAGCGGCGGAUGGGUGAGUAACACGUGGGCAAUCUGCCCUAAAGACUGGGAUACCACUUGGAAACAGGUGCUAAUACCGGAUAACAACAUGAAUCGCAUGAUUCAAGUUUGAAAGGCGGCGUAAGCUGUCACUUUAGGAUGAGCCCGCGGCGCAUUAGCUAGUUGGUGGGGUAAAGGCCUACCAAGGCAAUGAUGCGUAGCCGAGUUGAGAGACUGAUCGGCCACAUUGGGACUGAGACACGGCCCAAACUCCUACGGGAGGCAGCAGUAGGGAAUCUUCCACAAUGGACGCAAGUCUGAUGGAGCAACGCCGCGUGAGUGAAGAAGGUUUUCGGAUCGUAAAGCUCUGUUGUUGGUGAAGAAGGAUAGAGGCAGUAACUGGUCUUUAUUUGACGGUAAUCAACCAGAAAGUCACGGCUAACUACGUGCCAGCAGCCGCGGUAAUACGUAGGUGGCAAGCGUUGUCCGGAUUUAUUGGGCGUAAAGCGAGCGCAGGCGGAAUGAUAAGUCUGAUGUGAAAGCCCACGGCUCAACCGUGGAACUGCAUCGGAAACUGUCAUUCUUGAGUGCAGAAGAGGAGAGUGGAAUUCCAUGUGUAGCGGUGGAAUGCGUAGAUAUAUGGAAGAACACCAGUGGCGAAGGCGGCUCUCUGGUCUGCAACUGACGCUGAGGCUCGAAAGCAUGGGUAGCGAACAGGAUUAGAUACCCUGGUAGUCCAUGCCGUAAACGAUGAGCGCUAGGUGUUGGGGACUUUCCGGUCCUCAGUGCCGCAGCAAACGCAUUAAGCGCUCCGCCUGGGGAGUACGACCGCAAGGUUGAAACUCAAAGGAAUUGACGGGGGCC
rnacentral:rRNA from 1 species